rnacentral:tRNA from 1 species
CCUACGAUAGCAUAACUGGAAAUGCCACGGAUACCAUGCCGGGGAAAGUGGGGUUCAACUCCCCACCGUAGGA